AUGGCCUCCUCCUUCAAUGGCGGCAGUGUCCUCUUCGUGAUCUCCGCCCUCCUCCUCUUUGGCGCCACUCAGGUCACCCCCAUGGACUAUCUGCUCCCCAUAUGCAAGACCGUCGGCGGCGGCAGCACCUUCGUCGGCAUCCAGUUCUGCAUGGACACCUUCCACUCCGAUCCCCGGACCGCACACGGUGCGACGUACCAAGAGCUCGCCGCCAUCGCAGUCGACCUCCUGACGCUCAACGCCACCAGCACCAAAGCCAAGAUCGGCGGCCUUCUCGGCGGCAAGACGGCGGACGCCGCCACCGUGCAGUGCCUCAGAUCCUGCCAAACUCUUUACGGCGGCAUAUUGCAGCGGCAGCCUGGCAGCGCCGCCGCGGUCAAGGACGGCAAGUUCAGCGAGGCAAUCUCGUCCCUGGAGAAAUCGGCGACCGCGGCCAAGGAGUGCGAGGAUGGCUUCAGCAAGAGCCACGUGCCGUCGCCGGUGACGGUGGAGAACGGCAACGCUUUCCAGCUCGCCAAGCUCGCCGUCGCCUUACUCCAAGUCUAG
rnacentral:rRNA from 1 species